rnacentral:misc_RNA from 1 species
GGAGGACUCUCGCAUCGAUUCCGUCUCGCCAUCACUCCAUCUUCAUUGAUCCAUCUCUCUCUCUUUCACGAACCCAUCGGUUUCGUUCUCCGUUUAUACCACACGUGCUCUGUUUUUGUGUCUAAAAACAGAGUAGCCGUAUUUCAUCUCUUUUAAGCUUCUGCCUCUACACCAGAUUGGUAAGAUAUGAUGGUUUGAUAAGAGUCGUUGAAGGCUUUAAGAGGCAGAACGUCAUGAAGGCCUUAACUACGUAAGCCUAGUAUGGUUACUAUUAAUUUCAAAUUCAAUUACUGCAAGAUCCACGUGGUAUCCAUCUAUGACUGGAUAUAGUUCCGACCACAUAUCCAGGAUCCGCGUGUCAAUGUGCAGCCAAUUGUCCAAAGUACCCUUCCACAAAAUACUUAAUUUACUCUUGGAAUGCAAAAUUGUAACUGCAUCCUAUGUAAUAAACUACCUCAUAAAGUUAUUUAGUUUACA